GCAGGGAGAACUGCAGGUGCUCUGGAAGGGGAUGGAGUUUUAAAGGUGUCUUAAUACCUUGCAGCUCUCAAGUUCCCAUUCAAAAAUUUAUCGGGAGAAAACUUCCCAACACUGGGUAAAAGACAUCCCUAUAAUGGCUGCGUCCCUAUAUAGCCACAAAAAAGAUAAAAGCUUUCUGACCAAACCUGGAGAGAGCCCCAGACAUAAGGAGUAAAAAAAGCAAAGUGGCAAACAUUGUAUGAAAUGUUACCUUCUGUGUAAAAAGGAGAGUUUUUAAAAUGUGCGUUUAUAUUGGCUCAGAUUUGCAUUUAGAAACUCCAUCCCCUUCAAAGCACCUGCAGUUCUCCCUGCAGGCUUUCUAUGAUCUCAUCCCACUCAGAAACUGACAGAGUACAAGUGCAACUCUCACCAUUCACCUUCUUAGGUUAAGAACUUUUUGCGUCUGAGUGCGGUGGCUCAAGCCUGUAAUCCUAGCAUUUUGGGAGGCCAAGGCGGGUGGAUCACCUGAGGUCAGGAAUUCGAGAUCAAGCUGGCCAACAUGGUGAAACCCUGUCUCUACUAGAAAUACAAAAAAAUUAGCUGGGCGUGGUGGUGCUCGCCUGUAAACCCAGCUACUUGAGAGGCUGGGGCGGAGAAUCUCUCGUACCUGAGAGGCGGAGGUUGCAGCGAGCUGAGCUCAUGCCACUGCACUCCAGUCUGGGCGACGGAGGGAGACUCUGUCUCAGAAAAAAAAAAAAAAAAAAAAAAGGUUUUGCAUCCAGAGAUAAUUUUGUUUGUUUGUUUAAAGUGAUGAGGGUCUUGCCAUAUUUUUCAGCCUGGUCUUAAACUCGUGGGCUCAAGUGAUCCUCCUGCCUCAACCUCCCAAAGUGCUGAGAUUACAGGCAUGAGCCACCACACCCGGCCAAUAAUCCAUAUUCGAAAUGUUAAAUUAAGAAAAGCACACUUCUGGCCAGGUGCAGUAGCUCACACCUGUAAUCCCAGCACUUUGGGAGGCUGAGGCAGAUGAAUCACUUGAGGUCAGGAGUUCGAGACCAGCCUGGCCAACAUGGCAAAGCCCUGUCUCUACUAAAAAUAUAAAAAUUAGCCGGGCGUAGCGGCACACGCCUGUAGUCCCAGCUACUCAGGAGGCUAAGGCAGGAGAAUCCCUUGAACCCAGAAGGUGGAGGUUGCAGUGAGCUGAGAUCCUGUCACUGCACUCCAGCCUGGGCAACAGAGCGAAACUCUGUCAAAAAAAAAAAAAAAAAAAGAAAAAGCAAGCACAUUUUUAAUAAAAACCACAGUUCUAAGAAUCCACAGUUAACUUCUUGGGGAAUAAAAUCCUCAAGGAAGCAAGCUUCCCUGUACCCCAGCACAGCUGUCAUUUCACACUUCAGAUUCUUUGCUAAUGGAUAUCUCCCCCACUAGAGUUUCAGCUCCACCAAUGAGAUGGUCCCUGUCUAUAAUGCUCACCAUUGCACACCCAGAUCCCAGCAUAAUGCCUGGAAUAUGGCAGGCACUCCAAUGUUUGUAGGAAAAGUAUAAUAGUAACAUUUAUUGAAUACCUGCAGGUAUAGGCAAGACAUUUCCUAAUAAAGAAAAUUUCUCGUUCGGGCAUGGUGGCUCACACCUGUAAUCCCAGCAUUUUGGGAGGCAGAGGUGGGUGGAUCACUUGAGGUCAGGAGUUUGAGACCAGCCUGGCCAACAUAGUGAAAUCCCAUCUGUACUAAAAAUACAAAAUGAGCUGGGCGUGGUGGUGCACACCUGUAAUCCCAGCUACUCCAGAGGCUGAGACAGGAGAAUCGCUUGAACCUGGGAGGCGGAGACUACAGUGAGCCGAAAUUGUGCCACUGUACUCUAGCCUGGAUGACAGAGCGAGACUCUGUCUCAAAAAAAAAAAAAAAAAAAGAAAAGAAAAAAAAAGAAAAGAAAAUUUCUUUUGGGUUUUCUGAAUCAACUUGAGAAAGUAUGGUAUAAGAAGAAAGGAAUAUAGGAAAAGUUGUAAUGCUAAAACAGAUACCAAGGUCCAGAGAUGAGCUAGAUGUGGGCCCAUCACCUUGGAGGGCUGGAGGACUCAUGAGAUUGACCAGAGGCAAGCGGCCUUUGGGGACUCACAGCAUUCUAUCAUUCUAGGAUUGAGUUCAUGACAUGGAUCCCAAAAGCAUUGUGAUAUGUCACACUUAUCUUUGGAACUUAAAGCUAAGGCUGGGCAUAGUGGCUCACGCCUGUAAUUCUAACACUUUGGGAGGCCAAGGUGGGUGGAUCACCUGAAGGUCAGGAGUUCAGGACUAGCCUGGCCAACAUGGUGAAACCACGUCUCUACUAAAAAUAUAAAAAAUUAGCCGGGUGUGGUAGUGGGUGCCUGUAAUCUCAGCUACUCGGGAGGCUGAGGCAGGAGAAUUGCUUGACCCCGGGAGGUGGAGGUUGCAGUGAGCCAAGAUCACACCAUUGCACUACAGCCUGCACAACAAGAGCAAAAUUUCUUCCCACCACCCACCCCACUGCCAAACAAAACAAAACUAAACUAAACUAAACUAAACUAAACUAAAAUGUUGGAGUGAGAAGCCAAACACUGUGGGAAAAUGAAGCAAUUUUCUAUUUUUCCCCCUUCAGAGAAAUAGCACCCCUGAGUGAUUUCUGCAGGGUAGCCCUGCUCCGGGAAGCCUGUAGCCCACUUCUUACUGAGGGAUGCAACCCGACUGUCCACACGUUGGGCUUACCAUGAGGUUUCAUUAUCGGCAGUAACUCGUUGCACAUGUUUCUAGUGGCAAAAAAAUUUGUCUUCAGUGUCAUCUCAGCUUUAAUGUCAAAGGGCAUUGGAUCAUCACCUUUCAAAAAGAGAAAGAAACAAAAAGAAAGUCAUAUUUUUCCCCCUGAAACUCACAUGACAAAGUGGAUCCUAACUCCUAACAACUAAAGGAAAAACAAGUUAAUUUUAAAACAAUUUUUAAGAACGAGGUCGGUGAUUCUCAAACUUUAGUCUGCAUCCGAAUCACUUGUAGAGCCUGUUAAAACACAGCUUCCUGGGCCUCACCAUUGGAGUUUCUGAUUGCAAAGGGCUGGAGUAAGGGCUCCAGAAUUUGCAUUUUCUUUCCUUCCUUCCUUCCUUCCUUCCUUCCUUCCUUCCUUCCUUCCUUCCUUCCUUCCUUUCUUUCUUUUCUUUUCUUUCUUUCUUUCUCUUUCUUUUCUUCCUCUGUCACCCAGGCUGGAGUGCAGUGGCGCGAUCUCGGCUCACUGCAACCUCCACCUCCUGGGUUCAAGUGAUUCUCCUG
rnacentral:lncRNA from 10 species